GUACAUUAGUGCUUGCGCACGACAAUAAAUUUCAUUACAUUCGAGUGUGUGUAAAAAUCCUCUGCCAGCCGAAGCUAGCAAGAGGCCAAAGGUUCACAGGGUAUUGGAUGAAAGUCACCAACGUGCACUUGCCGAAGCCGGCCAGCACUGAAGGCAACGAUUCGCAAUCAGUAAUGAUCCUUCCGCAGGUUCACCUACGGAAA
rnacentral:misc_RNA from 1 species